rnacentral:rRNA from 1 species
UACGUAGGGGGCAAGCGUUUGUCCGGAUUCAUUGGGCGUAAAGAGCGUGUAGGCGGCCAGGUAGGUCGGUUGUGAAAAACUGGAGGCUCAACCUUCAGAGGUCGACCGAAACCAUCUGGCUAGAGUCCGGGAGAGGAGAGUGGAAUUCCUGGUGUAGCGGUGAAAUGCGCAGAUAUCAGGAAGAACACCCGUGGCGAAAGCGGCUCUCUGGAACGGUAACCUUGGACGCUGAAGACGCGAAAAGCGUGGGGGAGCAAAC